GCAGAAUUCAGUGAAUCAUCGAAUCUUUGAACGCACAUUGCGCCCGCCAGUAUUCUGGCGGGCAUGCCUGUUCGAGCGUCAUUUCAACCCUCAAGCUCUCCCGCUUGGUGUUGGGGCACUGCGGUUCGCCGCAGGCUCUGAAAUUCAUUGGCGGGCUCGCUAUAACUCCGAGCGUAGUAAUUCACCUCGUUCUGGAAGAGUGGCGGGCACUGGCCGUAAAACCCCCAUAUUUUACAAGGUUGACCUCGGAUCAGGUAGGAAUACCCGCUGAACUUAAGCAUAUCAAUAAGCGGAGGAAAAGAAACCAACAGGGAUUGCCCUAGUAGCGGCGAGCGAAGCGGCAACAGCUCAAAUUUGAAAUCUGGCUUCGGCCCGAGUUGUAAUUUGUAGAGGAUGCUUUUGGCGCGGCUCCUUCUGAGUCCACUGGAACGUGGCGCCACAGAGGGUGAGAGCCCCGUAUAGAUGGAAGCCAAGCCUGUGUAAAGCUCCUUCGACGAGUCGAGUAGUUUGGGAAUGCUGCUCUAAAUGGGAGGUAAAUGUCUUCUAAAGCUAAAUACCGGCCAGAGACCGAUAGCGCACAAGUAGAGUGAUCGAAAGAUGAAAAGCACUUUGAAAAGAGGGUUAAAUAGCACGUGAAAUUGUUGAAAGGGAAGCGCUUAUGACCAGACUUGUGCCGGGUUGAUCAUCCAGUGUUCUCACUGGUGCACUCUGCCCGGCUCAGGCCAGCAUCGGUUCUGGAGGGGGCAUAAAGGCCGCGGGAACGUAGCUCCUCCGGGAGUGUUAUAGCCCGUAGUGUAAUACCCCCACUGGGACCGAGGACCGCGCUCUGCAAGGAUG
rnacentral:rRNA from 1 species